rnacentral:misc_RNA from 1 species
UCCCCGUUCACCGGGGCAGUCCCCUCAGAGUGCCCGGCAUGACCUGGUAGCAACAGAGGGCGAGCGCAACCCUUAUCAUUAGUUGCCAACACGCGAAGAACCUUACCAAGGCUUGACAUUGCCCGGAAACACUCAGAGAUGGGUGCCUCUUCGGAUCGGGUGACAGGUGGUGCAUGGCUGUCGUCAGCUCGUGUCGUGAGAUGUUGGGUUAAGUCCCGCAACGAGCGCAACCCUUGUUCAAUGUUGCCAGCAACACCUUCGGGUGGUUGGGGACUCAUUGGAGACUGCCGGGGUCAACUCGGAGGAAGGUGGGGAUGACGUAAAGGAACACCAAC